UGGGGAAUUUUGGACAAUGGGGGCAACCCUGAUCCAGCCAUCCCGCGUGUGCGAUGAAGGCCUUCGGGUUGUAAAGCACUUUUGGCAGGGAAGAAACAGCCUGGGCUAAUAUCCCGGGCGACUGACGGUACCUGCAGAAUAAGCACCGGCUAACUACGUGCCAGCAGCCGCGGUAAUACGUAGGGUGCAAGCGUUAAUCGGAAUUACUGGGCGUAAAGCGUGCGCAGGCGGUUCGGAAAGAAAGGUGUGAAAUCCCAGGGCUUAACCUUGGAACUGCACUUUUAACUACCGGGCUAGAGUACGUCAGAGGGGGGUAGAAUUCCACGUGUAGCAGUGAAAUGCGUAGAGAUGUGGAGGAAUACCCAUGCCGAAGGCAGCCCCCUGGGAUGAUACUGACGCUCAUGCACGAAAGCGUGGGGAACAAACA
rnacentral:rRNA from 1 species